GCAGACACAUUCCAGCCAAUCAGCAGCAGACCCUCCCUCCUAGACCCUCCCACCUCCUGGACAGCAUCCAUUUUACAUUCAUUGUGAAGCUGCAUUCUUAGUGAGCUGUCCAGGAGGUGGGAGGGUCUAGGAGGGAGGGUCUGCUGCUGAUGGGCUGGAAUGUGUCUG